GAUGGAGAACGUAGUGAAAUGCGAUAAGUAAUGUGAAUUGCAGAAUUCAGUGAAUCAUCGAGUCUUUGAACGCACAUUGCGCCCCCUGGUAUUCCGGGGGGCAUGCCUGUCCGAGCGUCAUUGCUGCCCUCAAGCACGGCUUGUGUGUUGGGCCCCCGCCCCCCGGUCCCGGGGGGCGGGCCCGAAAGGCAGCGGCGGCACCGCGUCCGGUCCUCGAGCGUAUGGGGCUUUGUCACCCGCUCUGUAGGCCCGGCCGGCGCCCGCCGGCGACCCCAAUCAAUCUUUUUCAGGUUGACCUCGGAUCAGGUAGGGAUACCCGCUGAACUUAAGCAUAUCAAUAAGCGGAGGA
rnacentral:misc_RNA from 1 species